rnacentral:rRNA from 1 species
CCCAAAUCUCAUGGUGGAAUGGGGUUCCGGGAUAUGAAACUUUUUAAUCAAGCGUUGCUCGCUAAGCAGGCCUGGAGGUUGAUUGAAAAUCCUAAUAGCUUAUGUGUGCAGGUACUCAAGGCUAAGUAUUACCCCAAUGGGUUCUUGGUGGACACUGUGUUUACAGGCAAUGCAUCCUCAACAUAGCACGCUAUUGAAUACGGACUGGAGCUGCUAAAAAAAGGUAUCAUCUAG